rnacentral:rRNA from 1 species
UACGGAGGGUGCGAGCGUUGUCCGGAAUCAUUGGGCGUAAAGGGCGCGUAGGUGGCCCGGUCAGUCUUUGGUGAAAGCGCGGGGCUCAACCCUGCGUCGGCCAGGGAUACUGCCGCGGCUCGAGCACUGUAGAGGCAGGCGGAAUUCCGGGUGUAGCGGUGGAAUGCGUAGAUAUCUGGAGGAACACCGGUGGCGAAGGCGACAUCCUGGACCGGUAUUGACGCUGAGGCGCGAAAGCCAGGGGAGCAAACGGG